rnacentral:rRNA from 1 species
AAUUGCAGAAUUCAGUGAAUCAUCGAAUCUUUGAACGCACCUUGACGCUCCUUGGUAUUCCGAGGAGCAUGCCUGUUUGAGUGUCAUU